rnacentral:lncRNA from 1 species
GGGCAAAUGACUUAACCUACCUGGGCUUCAUUUUCCACAUCCGUGAGCCUCUAUCCAGCAGAGGUGCUGAGGGCUUAGAGUGAUGCUGCUGAAUGGGGCCCGGGUGGGGAAGGUGCCCCAUGGGCAGCUCCAGUCAUUGUGUGCAGAGGUCACCACACCGAGAUAAUAAGCUGGUGCCUCCCAGCCCAAAUGCUGGGAACAGCCAGGGUACCCUCGUUCUGCCCCACCCUAAUGUUGUGGCUCCCCAACUAGAGAGGAGGUGAAGCUGCAGGAUCCAAGCCGGAAGUUAAACCCUUGGUUUUCUGUAGGCAUUUUGGACCUGCUGCUCUUUGGGCCUGCAGCAAAUCCAGUGCAGGCACCAUACUGCGGAAUUAGAGACUGGGCCCCUUCUGGCUUUCCUUCUCAACUCCCCAGGGACUCAGAGCCCCUGGGCUGGGGGCAGCAGGUCCCAGGGUGCCCUGCUCUUGUCAUUGCCCUGGGGCAGCUGCCUCUCCAGGCUCAGCUCAGCCCGUCUGGAACCUCUGCUACGGUUAAAAUAGGGAGCUGGGGGAGGGAGAAUAGGGCGGGGUGUGUGUGUGCAGAUUCCCUCAGAGCCGAGGAAGAGGACAGGUUUUAGGUUGGGGGGAGGCUUUGGGUUUCACAGUGAUGGCCUCAUGAUACCCCCUCGACUUACACUCGCGGUGCAUUUUAGUCUUUGUGCUUUGAACUCAGUACGAUUCCUUUUGACUCUUCCUUUGAAAAGUGCAGAUGUUUUAAGAAAGAAGACAGAGAGGCUUAUUAUUACUUAUUACUUUUCCUAUGGGGGCAAGUUUGGGAGACAGACCUGUGCUCUUGAAAAAAGACUGGUGGUACCUUUAGGCUUCAAGGCUCAGAGAAGAGGGGCCCCUGGUUUGCUCUUUGAGUCUGUGGGUGGAGUGGGGGAGCCUGAGGACCACCUUCCCCGUGCCCCCGCCCCCAGGCAGCCCUCAGCCUGUCUGCAGGUGCUGGCAGCAGCCUCUUUUCCUCUCUGCUCCCCGACGCCCUCAGAAGCCCUUGUCCCCUCUCCCGGGAGCCCUCGUCUUCCUGGGCCAGAGCCAUGCCCACCCUCCCAGUGAAGAUGCCCUGACUGCUCCGCCUGCCUCCAUCCCAGAGCUGGGCAUCCGUGUCACCUGUGGAGGGAUUUCAUCCCUGGAGAGGGACGGAGGGAGGAGUGGACGGAGUGGGGAGGAUCAAAGGUCUUUGGAGUCAGGCAAAGCAAAGUGACAAGAAGAGGGAAGGCCCUUGAGGAGGGGGCCUGAGACCUGGUUUCCUGCACUAAAUAACUAGAGGGCAUGAAACCCUAGCAACACGGUGUUUCUGGUUUUUUUUUUCUCCCGAAGGCCCAACCUUUAUCAGGCUGGACACCAAGCUAGCUCCUCCUUUCUGGAGCCCUCUGGCCUCUGAUUCCCCAUGGGUUGGGGGACUUCAGAGACAAAGCAGGCAGCUAGGGGUGGGAGGUAAGGAGGGUCUCCGGUCGGUCCUCUGUGGAUUUUCCCACCCCUGCAGAAAGUGUCCCAACUUAGUGAGGCCAGCAGCUGAGGUCCCUCCUGGCCUGGAUGGAAGGAGGCGGCUUGGUGGGGGAAGAGGCUGCAGCAAAGGACGGACCAGAUCCUGGGUGGGAUCCCGGCCCACAACCUUGGGAGCAGAGGAUUUCCAGGCACUGCUUCCAGAGGGGUCAGGCCUGGGAGGUCCCCCAGACUGGGUCCUCACGCCCAGGAGGCCAACAGCUGGGACACCAAGACAGAAGGGAGCCUGGCAGGUCCCCUGUCCCCGUGGUGUGUUUCCCAUUCCAGAAUCUCACUCCCACCCCGCAAGUGCGCUUUGGGUUUUCCUUUUAAUCCGGCUUCAUCUGGAUGCCUGGAAAAGUAGGGGAGGGAGUGGGAAGCAACAGAUCCCUUCAUUUGCCCUGGGCCUGCACAGCUCCCCCCCCGGCCCAUGGCCCUGAUGGGGAAGAUGGAGGGGAAGACAAGGGGGAAGAUGGGGGGGAGAUGGAGAGGAAGAUGGGGGAAGACAUUCUCGGGUGCUGCCCAGGUGCCUUGGUUGCAGGAUAGGAACGUCCUUUGAGCAUCUCAGCAGUUGCUCCCAGGGAGGCUUGGCCACUUGGCACUGUCCCCCUGCUUCCUGCCCAGGCUGCCAGGGAGAGAGACCCAAGGAAGUGACUCCAGGGAAGCUGAGGGGGAGAGUGUGGGCGGGCCCCUUCAUCGUCCAGUUGGUUUCCCAGAAGGAACAGGGGCUCCCUGUGCGCAGGGAAGGCUUUGGAAGUGGGCGGGUUCCCGGAGGAUAAGAUGCUCUCUGGGCUCUGAGGGCACCCUGGCUGUGUCUCCUCAGCUGGCCAAGACCUAAGGUACCUCCCUGGGGUCUCCAGAGGCUGUGAGGGGCAGAACGGGGGUCAGGGGGCACCGGAAUGCCCCUGGUCACAGCCUUUGUUCCCAGCCCCCUCCCUUUCUUCACUCCAGUGCUUUGAAAGAGGGUCAUUGCAGGCUUCCCCCCUCGUUGGCCCCACCAAGAGAAGGAAGUAUUUGUGCUGAUGGUGACAUUUCCCGGGCAGGCCAGAGGAAGGCAGGGACCGGGACUGGUGGGCAGCCAGAACCCUCCUCGACAGAGAUAUAAUUACUAACCGUGACCUCUAGCCCAGGCAGCGAGCAAAAUGACCAUUCAGGACGGCACCAACCCAGUCUGGCAACAAAAGCUGCUGUGGUGGUGAGGCUGAGGGGGUAGGCGAUUGAUGUAUGAAAUGGGGGUGUGUGUGUGCCCCAGGACCUCUGUUCUCCCUCAACACGCAACCCCUCACAUCUCCAGGUUAUCCUCACUCACCGCAGCCCUUUGCUGGCCUCUCGGCACCUCUAGAAUUCCAAUCAAUGUAAUUAGUAUGGAUGAUGAGAACAGAGACGUUCACACACACCUCCUUUAAGGAGCUAAAGUGCACCUUGUGUGUUGCUCCAGGAUGAGAAGGAGAACCUGCCGGUAGCCAGGAGCUGCCAGACAAGAUGCUUCCUUUCCCCGUGGUCCUUCCAGGCUGGCUCCCCCAACCUGCAGCACUGCAUCGCCGCAGGGAGUUGGAAAGGGAAACUCAUCCUGGGAAAGCCAUUGGCUGCAAGGACCUUUCCAUCUCUCCCCCGACUCACCUCUGCUUCUUUGGGGAAGAUGUUUGGCGAUAAUUGAGGACCUGGGAGGGAAAAGUCUUGAUUCAGCUUUUUGAAGGGAUGCAGAGAUUUCAUAGGUAGACUUGGGUUGUGGUUUUUGUCGACUUUGCCCUUUCACGAUCAUUCCCCACUGAGCGCUUGGCUCUCCUCUUCCUUCUCCUGCCUUUUCCCUUCCGUCACCUUCCCCUCCCUCCCCUCCUGCCAUGCUAGAUGUUGAAGGGUGGGUUGGUGGUGGGAAAAAACAGUAGUGCAGAAGAAAAAUAAAAUAUACCCCUUGCACAUUUUCACCAGGUAGCUGAAGAGGUCUAAAUGAGGUACUAGAAAAAAGGAAAGAAACACUGCUAGCUAAUGUGUGAGUGAGAGCAUGAAGACAGAGACGAGUUAUCCCAGGGCAGAGGAGGCGAGGGCAGGUGGCUGGAGAGAGGCGAGUUUGGGAGGCAGCAUCCCGGCUCACCCAGGAGCUGGUCCACGGGGCACUAGGGAAAGCAGAGAGUCUGGCUUUGGCAAUAAAUGCUCAGAUGCUUAGGGACCAUUUGUGACUCAGGCCAGGAAAGGGAGGGGGUCUGUCCUAGUUGCCCACCACUCAUCUGUCGUGUUUACCCGCUCUGGGCAUUUUUCCUCCGGAGGAAAAUGAACACACUUCUCGCCUGCCAUGAGGGGUUGCUGGACAGGCUGGCACUGGCUAAAACAUUUGGCGGGGCGUGGACUAUGUGCCAAGCCGUGUCCUAGAUACUAUACACGCUGGAGACAGGAAGCCUUCAAGCUGCUUUCUAGCCCUAAAACGACACUCCCGAGGCACCCUGAUCACAUGUCAGGUGCCAUCAAGGAUGGUGUAUGUGUAUCUGGGUCUCUGUUCAGAAUGCAUGUUCAUAGAAGAUGAGCAGCGAAGGCGGCCCCUUAUUUCCACCCUCUGGGAGUUGGGGAGAAGUGCAGUUGACCUCAGCCUAAUUGGAGUGUGUCACCAGCCACAGGGACUCUGAGCCUGUGCCUCCAGAUGCUGCCUUUGGAUCGCUGCAGUGGCAGGCAGGCAGGUGUGACUGAUGGGACGUGAUCAGAGGUAGAAAGUGACACGCACGAUGGUCUCAUCCAGUCCCCACUAGAGGAAGCUGAGCCGGGGAGUGGCGGGGUGGGAGCCUCAUGCAGGGGGUGGGUGGACUCCUACGGAGACCCCAGCCAGGCUGUCUCAGCUUCGUGGGUGUUUCUGGCUUGGUGGGUGUGAGGGAGGCCCAAUGUCAAAGGCAUUUUCAGUAAACCUGCUACGCCCUCCUUUGGCCAGGUGCUCGCCAGAUCUAGCUACGUGCUCCACUAGAGUGCCAUUGUCGGCAUUGACAGCACUAGAAAUUGGCCAUCUGUUUCAGCUCCCCUUUCCUCUGCACAUGACACAGCCACUUCCCAGCCUCUAGCUGUUCCCCGAAGAAGAUGGCUUUCAAGCUGAGCGCCUGGGCUUGGCGCAAGUCACGUAUCCACCGCUGGGUAGGUGUCGGCUCAGAGUUGCCUACAGCAGCCUUUGGCUUCUCUGCGGGGGAGGCUCUGGGGACAGCCCUUCCCUGGACAGCACAUGGCUCGCAGCUGGUGGUCUGGUGAUCUCUGGGAGAGUCAGGGACAUGAAGCUUUCCUGAUGCCUGGCUGGGAGUCUGGCUUUAAAGUGCUUGAGAACCUAAGAUGCAUUCUGGGGUUUGAUCCACUCACUCAUUUGAGAGCCUGUGGGCAAGGCUCUUCCGGUUGACCCAGCUUCACUAGUCCCUUGUGUUGGCAGGAGGGAGAACAGAAGCCCAUCUGACUUGGAUCUCAUCCAGGCCAGACAGGCUGCACCAUCCCGGGGCAGCCAGCCUUGGACCCUGAGCCCACAGGCUGCACGAAGGGUGGACGCUGCUGGCCCAGGGGCAGAGCUCUGAGAUGGUCUCCCCUCCACCUCCACCCAAGGACACUCUUGGGCUGAGGAUCCAGCCUGAUCAGACCACUUCCCAGCCUGAUGCUGACCUACUGGACCAGCUAGGCAACGGAGCCCUAGUGGACUGUCCCAUCCACGUCACAGUCCAUCGUGCAAGAGCCAGAACGAGUCUUCAGCCAGGUCUGCGCCCCCUUUCCCAAUGUGUUUAGCCUGAGGGCCUUUUUAAAGCCCAGUUUCUAUUACAUUACCUCUUGAGAGCCAAGAAAUGGAACAUCUCUGCCAGGAAACCAAAAGAAAUUGAUGUUCUUCUCCUAGUGGCCAAAACUCCAGCGUGGUUCUCCCCAGAGGGAGGCUGCUCCUGGCCACUUUGGUGGGGCUGCCACCACAUAUGACCCCCGUGGCUCCUCUGGGUGGGCUUUUGGCCCUGGAGUAGGAAGGCUGAAGACGUCCCCCAGGAGGGGGUGACACUGGUUCCAGUGCAGGGGGAGGAAGCGCAGGCUCUGGUUGAAUCAGAGAGUGAGAAGCCUGGGAAGGGGUUGGUUCAGCUUUCACGCUGCCUGUCCCAACUGGUGACUAGACCCUCGGUGCCUCGCAGCCUCAGGAAUUUUCUGUCCCUGGACUGCUUGUGGCUGUGGCUAGAAAGGGGAACCCCUGGAGAUGUUCCAGUGAUCUCCAGUUGUCGUGGCUCCAUUUCGAUCUCUGGGCGAGCAGAGGAGAUGCAAAGUCGGGGUCCCUGCUUCCAGCUGUGGGCACCAGAGAGGAGGCCACUUUCACAGGGUAUCCCUAUGGUUCCAAAAUGCUCUCCUGUCUCUGUUACCCUCCCUGCCUCAACUCUCUCUGAAACCCUUAGUCACAAAAUAGUGGCUGAGUUGGCCCCCAGCAACAGAAAUGCUGGCCAAAAAGCAUCUUCCUCCGAUGCUCCCUUGAACUCCCUCCCCGCUGGACCUUGGGAUCCAGCACCGCAUUACCUUCCCCUGGAUGGACAGCUUAGAGUGGUCCAACCCCGAGCAGCUCAGUUUACUUCAGACAGUGUCCAGCGCUGGGCAGACACAGUUUUCACGAUGAGAGAGAAGGGCUCCAGACUUAGGAAGUUGUGCGUAAUGGUCUGAAGAAGCGAUCUCCGUUGACUCNNNNNNNNNNNNNNNNNNCCCACCCCCCCGUCCCCUUCAGGUGUGCUGUGGUUGUCGUCUCUGUCUGUAGCUGCGUGCCCCACUCCUGCCCCUCUGCCCUCUGGGGAAUCCUCCUUUCUCCCGUGUGCCAAGCGCCCACUCUUUUGUGGCUCCUGGUGUGAAGGCUGCUGUGACGUCUCUGCCCUGUCUGAGGGAUGCUUCGCCAUCACUCAGCGUUUCCGUGCUGGAGGUGGGGCCGGGCCACGUCUCCCGCCAUCCCAAGGGGACACGUGGGUGCUGUGACUUCCCAGAGAGUGGGUGGACCGUGAGUCUCCAGGAGAAGCUCCAGGUAGGAAAGAGCCCACAUCUGGAUCUGGAUCCACGGAUGAGGACUGGCCCAGAAGCGGAGUCCCCACGGCUUCACUCAGAGGGCCGGCUGGAAGGGCUGUCGUGAACUCUUCCCUCCCCGACAGGCUUUGUCCAGUCCUGACUGGGACCUGGGGGUGGCUCCCCGGAGAGGUCCAGCCCUGUAGCCAACUUGAGGUGAGCAUCAUCGAGCAGCCUUUAUCUUGGAGACCCCUGGACAGCCCAGCCCCUCUGUGGAGCCCUUGCACGUCCACAAAGACUGCGUCAGAGGCCCCGUCCCUUCCUUGCUGUGGUUAGUAUCUCGUUCUGUGGUUGGUUAGCAGUGUUGAUAACCUACAUAGUAGAUCUUUUUGUCUGAAAUUUAGAGAAUGUGUAAACAAAUAAAAGGUUUUCAAACUCUUUUGGUUAUUCUCCCCCUGCCCCCCUACACCCACCCUCAUUUUUUUUUUUUUUGUCUUUUUAGGGCCUCCCCCUCGGCAUAUGGAGGUUCCCAGGCUAGGGGGUGAAUCAGAGCUGUAGCUGCCGGCCUAUACCAGAGUCACAGCAAUGCCAGAUCUAAGCCACGUCUGCGACCCACACCAUAGCUCAUGGCAAUGCUGGAUCCUUAACCCACUGAGUGAGGCCAGGGAUUGAACCCUCAUCCUCAUGGAUACUAGUCGGGUUUGUUACCGCUGAGCCAUAGCGGGAACUCCCCCACCCUCAUCUUUAAAAAUCAAUUGCAAAAAAAAAAAAAAA